rnacentral:lncRNA from 1 species
GAAACUUAUAGCUAUGUCUGUUGACUGUCAGCCAACUGCAGAAGUACAAUUACUGUUCAUUGAGGUAUCCUUGACUGUGCUGACACUGGGGGGGCUUAAACUCUGAGCUCUCUGAUUUGUUCUCAAGCUCAAAACACUGUAAACAGCAAGGACCUGUAGUGGCCACCUUCCGUACACUUUGUUCUGGCUUCUCCCUCUACCCUCUUGUUGCCCGAAGGCUCUUAGUGGGCAGUUCCUACCAGUAGGAAACAGUAAGGAACAGAGCAGUCAGAAGCUGGCAUGUGAGCUUUUUUAAAAUAGACAAGGGUAGUUCCUAUGUCCUGUUUCUGAGAGCAGUAUUCCUUGUGGGAAGAGUCCAGCCACUGCUCUGAAGACAGAUUUAUUCCCAGCUCUACCAUUUCCGCAGCAAAUAGAGGCAGAUGGUGCAGUGGUGUCUCUGGACCAUAUGUUCUUUGUUUGCUCAAUUGGUUCUUUUGUGAUUCUGCACUGGUUGCUCCACCUGCUUGUUUGUGAAAGAUGGAUGGUCUAUUUGCUGAUUCUUGUCUGUUUUUACUGUAUUUUCCCUGACCACACUUCUAAAUGUCACUUUCUUGGAAUUGUCAAGCAGUGACUUUUUGAGCACUUAAAUCAAAAGGAUAUGGCUGAAACAGCAUAAGUGAAUGCAUUUCUAACUUCGGUGUGCAAAUGGAGAUGCUGCUGUCGGGGUUCAGCCCACGGGAGUGUGGUACGGCUGCAAAGAAGAGCAUGGACUCAAAGUGUCACUGUGCAGUGCGGCUGCUGAGACUGUGGGGUGAAAGCAUGCUGGAUUGGAGGUGCUGGGAGAAAGCACAAGCAGUCCUUCAAGAUGAGGUAGGAGGGAUGGCAGUAACAGAAGAGCACAGCUGA